rnacentral:lncRNA from 1 species
UUUGCUUAGUUAGAAAGGAAACUGGAACUUUUUGGUGUACAACCUUAACUUUUGAAAUUGGUAUCAGGUACAGAAUCCCCAUGUUACCUCACAAAGCCACAGUCCAGGUGAAAGUGUGAAAAGACUAUGGGAUUGGCUUACUGUGGUUAUUCCUGUGGUUUAUACCUCAAACUAACAAUUCUCCCUGAAUCCCACAUCAAGUCUGCUGCCUGCUGAGUCAUCUGGCCUCUUUGACAGCACCCAUCAGUCUUUAUAAAGGCUUCCUUAUAUAAUAUUUAUAAAGAAAGGGGCUGGGCGCUGUGGCUCACACCUGUAAUCCCAGCACUCUGGGAGGGCAAGGUGGGUGGAUCAUGAGGUCAGGAGAUUGAGACCAUCCUGGGUAAUACGGUGAAACCCCGUCUCUACUAAAAAUACAAAAAAAUUAGCAGGGUGUGGUGGCAGGCACCUGUAGUCCCAGCUACUCAGGAGGCUGAGGCAGGAGAAUGGCGUGAACACGGGAGGCAGAGCUUGCAGUGAGCCGAGAUUGCACCACUGCACUCCAGCCUGGGAGACAGAGCAAGACUCUGUCUCAAAAAAAAAAAAAAAGGGGGGUGCAGUUUGCAGGCCAGUGGACUAAUGCACCCUCACCAUAUAGCCCCACAGAAAUUGGUCUGCCAUGGAGCUCUAAAGAACUCAUAAUUUCUCCAAAAGGACCAUCUUUCUACACCUAUGCAAUUGUUCAAGAUCAAGGGUCAGCAAACUGUGGUCCACAGGCCAGUUGCAUAUUUAUGCACAUAAAGUUUUAUUGGAACAUAGCCAUAGCCAUUUAUUCACAUAGUGUGUAUGGCUGCUUUUGUGUACAAUGGCAGAGUUGCAAAUCCUAAAAUAUUUACUGCUUGGCCCUUCAAGAAAAAGUUUCCUGACCCCUGUUUUAGUUAGUUCUGGAAUGAUGAGCAUGUGUGGAAAAUCCUCGGGUUGAUGCAGAAGCUUAGUGGCUGCACAGUAGUGAUACAUUGUUUUCCCAGGCUAUUUUAUUGUUUCUUAAUUUCUUAAUCACUUUGUGGAUUAAAUUCAUGGCCAGAAGUAACUCAGACAU